GUUUUUUGUUCUAAGUCAAACUUUUACUUUGACCAAGUUUGUAGAAAAAGAUAUUAAUAUCUCCAGUACCUAAUAAAUGUAUUAUCAAGAGAUUUCAUGGUGGAUCUAAUGAAACUAAUUUGACGAUGUAGAUAUUGAUACACUUUUCUAUAAACUUUGUUAAAGUUAGAUAAGUCUGACUUAAGACAAAACUAA
rnacentral:pre_miRNA from 1 species